GGGCGACCUGGGCACCAGCAGGACCCGAGGCCAGGAGCCAGGGGCCCAGAAGAAUGUGGCCCCGUCCCAGAGCACCACCCGAGACAUCAGGAGCCCAUCGUGGGCUAGGGAAGAUCCUCCGGGACCUAACGGCCCAGGUCUUCCACCCUUGGCCACCUCCCCAGGUGAUGCCUGAAGCUCAAGGGACUGUGUCCACCCUCAGGCCCUGCCCGUGGCUCUGGAUCGGCGGUCCCCAUCAGAGGCCUGGGCUGAGUCCUCAGGGGUCGACGCAGGUCCUCUGGGCAGCAUGGGGUGGUGCCGGGUGGACCCCACGGUGGCCUGUGUUCGCCACGUGGCCGUGGGUCAGUUCCUCGCUGGAGGAGACCCUUCCCCAGACACCUGCCGGGCACCCAGCCAAACCCUUGAGGCCUGGGAAGGUCUCUGGAUGCCACCCUACACCCCGCCCAGACUCCUCUCCCUGUGGUUCCUGGACAGAACAUUCCGUCACCACGAAACGAAGUUUGCCCAGGCCCUGCCUUCACCCUGGGAAAACCCAGCCGGGCAUGGGAAGGAGGAAUGCUGCCCGCCUGCCCGCCCAGACCAGAGUCGCCCCACAUGCCAGGCCAGGCCCGCAUCCUCCUGGGGCACACGGGAGCCCCAGGCUUCCCGGCAGGAAAAGCCCCCCACCGCAGAAGGGCUGGUCUCUGGUGGGGAGUUGCUGCUGGGUGGGGUGACCACAGGGCGGGGUUCAGGCUGGGGUAUUUUUAAUGAUGUAGUUGCAUCUGGUCACCGCCCCCUGCCACCCCCGAUUCUUUCCUGCCCUCCCCACCUUGUGACCCAGACUGUGGCUUGAAUUAAGAAUGUUUUCAGAUAAGUACACGCCUUUGAGGUUAAAA
ensembl:lncRNA MIRLET7BHG MIRLET7B host gene